UACGUAGGGGCCAAGCGUUGUCCGGAUUUAUUGGGCGUAAAGAGCUCGUAGGCGGUUCGGCAAGUCAGCUGUGAAAUCUCCACGCUCAACGUGGAGGGGUCAGCUGAUACUGCUGUGACUUGAGUCCGGUAGGGGAGUGUGGAAUUCCCGGUGUAGUGGUGAAAUGCGCAGAUAUCAGGAAGAACACCCGUGGCGAAGGCGGUUCUCUGGGGCGGUACUGACGCUGAGACGCGAAAGCGUGGGGAGCGAACAGG
rnacentral:rRNA from 1 species